rnacentral:rRNA from 1 species
UACGUAGGGUGCGAGCGUUAAUCGGAAUUACUGGGCGUAAAGCGUGCGCAGGCGGUUCGUUGUGUCUGUGGUGAAAGCCCCGGGCUCAACCUGGGAAUUGCAUUUGAGACUGCGUAGCUAGGGUGCGGAAGAGGGAAGCGGAAUUUCCGGUGUAGCGGUGAAAUGCGUAGAUAUCGGAAGGAACACCAGUGGCGAAAGCGGCUUCCUGGUCCAGCACCGACGUUCAGGCACGAAAGCGUGGGGAGCAAACAGG